UAAAAGGUAAGCUAAAAAAGCUAAUGGGUUCAUACCCCACUUAUAAAGGAAAUCCUUUCCUUUUAA
rnacentral:tRNA from 1 species